CCCCCCCCACACAAGUACAUUACUGACUGUUCUAGUUGCCAGAUGACUUUCGCAAGCCUUUCCUGCUUCCUUCACCUGGGAGAUUUCACUCAGCUGGGUGGGUGGUCACCAGCGGACAGGGACAAAGGCACAGCACCACUCCACCCCCUACAGCAGCCUGAAGAGAUCUCUUCCCCUUACAAGUCCACUCAGACCCGCCUAAUGUCUGGAGCUUCAGUGCUGCUUUACAGCCUUUGCAUGACUUUGGCCACAAGAGCUUCUGGCACACCGGGAGCUAUUGGAUCACUGUGCCCUGCAAACAGUACACAAAAAGGACUAAAAUGCAUCCUGCUUAAUUGUACCUUGCCUGAAGCAUACAACCAUUGCCCUGUCCUGUGU